AGUGGGAUAACUGGGUCAAGUAGUGGUUCCAUACCUAAUUUUUUGAGGAAUCUCCAUAGUGCUUUCCAGAGUGGUUGUACCAAUUUGCAGUCCCAUCAGCAAU
rnacentral:pre_miRNA from 1 species